rnacentral:rRNA from 1 species
GACGAACGCUGGCGGCGUGCUUAACACAUGCAAGUCGAACGAAGUGGCGAACGGGUGAGUAACGCGUAAUCAACCUGCCCUUCAGAGGGGGACAACAGUUGGAAACGACUGCUAAUACCGCAUACUGAAGGAGGGGAUUGCGUCUGAUUGGCUAGUUGGAGGGGUAACGGCCCACCAAGGCGAUGAUCAGUAGCGGUUAGGGUGGGAUGAACGGCCAAAUUGGUACUGAGACACGGCACAGAGUCCUACGGGAGGAAGCAGGGGGGAAUCGUCCGCAAUGGACGAAAGUCUGACGGAGCAACGCCGCGUGAGUGAUGACGGCCUUCGGGUUGUAAAGCUCUGUUAAUCGGGACGCGGUACCGGAAUAGAAAGCCACGGCUAACUACGUGCCAGCAGACGCGGUAAUAC